UCAAUUUUCAAUCUCAACAAGUGCUAGUUUUGUUUGAAAUCAGUGCCAUUUCACGGUUUUAAACAAAAGGCGCAAAAAGGCAACACACAAGACGCUUUGAACAAGCCCCUUUUCGCUCUGAACUCUUCCACUUUUCCAUUCUCUAUUUCUCUCCCUCUCACCCCCUUCAUUUUUCUUCUCAGUGAUUCCCACUUCUUCUCUGGUCGGCACUGAAGUCAGCGUCAAAGAGAUUCAGUCGGCCUCUUCCUUUUCCGAUCAUUACCCGCCUUCACUUCACGGUGCUUUGGUUAGUUCGCCCAAGCCCAAUCCAAAUGGAUUAAGGAUUUGGUCAGUGUUUUCGGCAAACUCUCUCCCUCUCUCACGCCCUUUGUUUCCCCUGUGAUCUUUGGGUGCUGCAAAUUUGGAAAGCUUUCAGAUUACGGUUUCGUCUUCCACUCCACAUGCUAAUCUCUGUGAUUUUGGGUGCUUUGUUUGUAAGUCGAGUGAACAGGUGGCCAUUGAAGCCAUCAUCAGAGACAUCAUCAUAUGAAGAUUCCUCUCCCCUGCAUGAGCAAGUUCUGACAUUUUUGACAGAGUACAAGGAAUUAAUUCCACAUUUGAGCAGCAUUGUGUCAUCCUCUAUUUCGAGACUCAAGGCACGAAACUAGGUGUUCCAUGAGGUGUAGAAGAUGGUGUUAAAAAACCCAAUAUACUUUGUUCAAUAGAGGGCUUGAGUCUCGUUAAGAAGUGCAAGAUUUUCACUGUCAAGGAUGUGGGAGGUGAUGAGAUGCGGCGUCGAUAUAGCCACCUUGCCUGGGCAAAGACAAGGUCGAAGAGUGGCUACCUACCUUUGCCCCUCACUUGGGUGAGUUGGUAGUUUUUAACCCCACAUACUCUCUAGUCCUAUCAACUCGACGGAUGGGUGGGUGGCUUAAUCCACAUUCUGGAUCCCAUCGUAUCAAAAUUAAAAACCAUAUCACACCCAACAAGCCAAAAACCAUAUCGCAACCAUAUGCAUUCAAACUCCACUACGGACCAUAUUUGUGCAAUGAGACCCAUGGUUGUGCACUAUGUGCUGAUCUUGUGGUUGUCUGCACAUGCAUAUUCACAGUCGUGGGCCUCCAUGCACUAGAAACAUUAGUUAUGAGAAACUUAGGUGGAAGAGAUGGAGGACAAGAGAAGGAGUAGGAAGAGAUGAAGAAAAAUAAAAGGAAAAGAAGAGGAAAUAAAGAACAGAAGGGAAGGGAAGCUUGAAUGGUGCGGCCUUGCUGGAAAACAUGAAGUGGGAGAGUGAAUUGGUUGUUGUUUGGAUUGAGAGAUCUUCUUAAUUCAUUUCAUCUCAUCUAAUAAGUAUAAUUUUUUUAAAUUUCUAAAUAAAAUAUAAUAAACAAUUUAAUUUUUUUAAACUCCAAAAUAAAAAUAAUAUUAAAAUAUUUUAUUCUAAUAAUAUUUUAUUCAAUUUUCAUAUCAUAUCAUUUAUUUCAACUCAUUACUCAAACCUUCCCUUAGGCUUUUUUUUUAUUAUAUACAUAUACUAAAUAUACUGGUAUGCAGGUGAUAUACGAUUAUCUACCAUCCCUUUAGUUUUUGUUCUUAUCCUCCCUCACCCAUCCGCCCACAAACACUUGGCGAGUAGCUUACCCAGUACCUAGUGCCUAAUGGGAGUUGACAAAUGUGCCAGGUGAACUAAUACGCAGGCCGGCCACCACUCCUAAUUAUCAAUAGAAUAAUCUGUUUAAGACAGAAAGCACAAUGAACCAAGACGACGACAAGGGCAGCUCUUGCUUUAUAGAGGAUUUGAACUUUGAUAGGUCCUAGAUUGUACACAACCAAAUAAAAAAUUUAUAUUAGGAUAAAUCUCCACUUAGGGUGGGAGUAGACCACACAAUUCUUCACUUUGGAUGUGAAGGAAACCACAAGAUAGAUCAUUCUUGACAUACCUCUUCCUCACACUACCAUUUACAUAUAUACACUACUUAGAAGGAAACUGCCACACAAAUAACUGCCAGUACACGUUGUAUAAUGACUACUACCAAUAUACAUAAGACAUAACUAUUAUUAACUACUAUAAGCUAAUCUGAACCACUAUUGUUUUUGAAUGGCACUCCAUGUUGGUUUUUUGCUCCUUUUUUUUUGUCCCACACCUAUAGGAAGAAAAUAAAUGGCAUAUGCCUAGGCUUAUAAAUAAGAGGCUUAGCCUCUUAGUUUAAACACACCAGUUGAAAGCUUAUCUCAUAAUUUUUUAUUUUAGUUAAAUUCUUUUUUUGACCUUUUUUGUAAAAGUGGAAGAGGUAGGAAGUUAAAGUUUUGAUAGUGAGUAAGUUUUGUGAGUGUAUUUGGAGUGAGAAGAAAAAUUAUGUAAUUAUAAUAAUUUUUUACAUAUUGAAUUUUUUUCUUUAGGUCUGGUAGUUUUCUCUCCUGUUUAGGAGUUUCCACUUAAAUAUCUUGUAUUGUUAUUAUUUUUCUUGUUAUUCCUGCAAAUGGUAGAUCUUAGGGGAUGAAUUUGAGAUGUACAAAUUUCCAACAAAUAGUAUCAGAGCCACUAAGUUCUUUUUGUGUGGUGGAAUUUUAGUGUGGUGGAGUGGAUACAUACAGUCUAAAGAGUUUCUAUCUAGGAGAUUGGAAAUUUUAAACGUAUCUAUUGUGACCCUCCAAUCUUUUUUAGAAACUUAUUUAAUGAGGUACUAUUCAUCUCUACAGUAAAUUCAUUAAAGCAAUGUCAGGAAAUAGAGUUUCAAAUCUUUUCAGAUUUGAGAUGGAAAAAUUUGAUGAGAGAAUCAAUUUUGGUUUGUAGCAAGUACAAGUCAAGGAUGUCUUGAUUCAAUCAGAAUUACACAAGGCAUUGAAGGGCAAACCAAUACCUGAAGUCAACACUAGUACUAGUGUGACUGGUGAAAAGAGUAAAUCUAAAAUAAGCGAUGAAAAUUGAGAAAAUCUAGAUUUGAGAACAGUAAGUGCGAUACGUCUGUACCUGACCAAAAAUAUUCUUGUAAAUGUGCAUAGAAUAUAUACGAUAAAGGAACUUUGGAAAAAACAUGAAGAGUUGUAUCAGAUGAAAGGUGUCUCAAAUCGUGUGUACCUGAAGAAUCAGUUUUAUACACUGUAGAUGAGUGAAGGUAUAACUAUCUCAGAUCAUUUAAGCAUUCUCAAUGACAUUGUCGCUGAGUUAGAAUUUAUUGGAGUUAAAAUUGAUGAUUAGGAUCAAGCUUUGAGACUCAUCUGGUCUCUUUCUCCUUCCUAUGAGCACAUGAACCCUAUUUUGAUAUAUAGGAAUGAGAAAAUAAUUUUUUUAGAAGUUACCAGUAAAAUCUAUUCUGAAGAGAGAAGAUUAGGUAGUAGAAGUAAUGUUCCACUUGAGAAUUUAGUAAUGGUAGCAGCUAGAAAUAGGAAGAUGAAGAAUUCCAUAAAGAAGAAAGUAGUCUGUUGAAGGUGUGAAUAAUUUGGGCACGUAAAGAAAAAUUGUCUAAGAGUUGAAGCAGAUUCGGCAAGUAGCUCCAAGUUAGUAAAUGGAGAUACUGGAAAUGAUGUUAAUGUUGUGUCUCUCUCCAUGGAAGCUUUUAAUCUUUAAAAAUGGACAUGUAUGUCCUCAUGGUAUGUCGUUAAUUCUCAAAAGUUGUCAUGAUAGAGGAUGUGUUAAUAUCAACGAGUUUACAAGUUUGCACACAGGCAUUGGUUUAGCAUUGAUGCAAGGUGUGUGGUGGAAAUUCAGGUCGAUGGUUGAUGAACUUCCAAGAAAGUCAAAUGUGGAAGUUACACCAGAAUUAUCAGUAAGGUUGUUUUUCGACAUGGGCCGAAGUGAAAUGUUUGGAAUUAGUUUAUUCUGAGUGUAUAUGUUUUUAUUGUGAAGCAUGAUAACGGAAGUUAUGAAAAUCUUAAUUGGGGUGGAGCUUUGCAGUGAGACCAGUCAAAAUCGCAAGGUGGAGAUUGUUGAUUUUUUACUCCUUUUUUUAGUCUCACACCGGUGGAAAGAAAAUAAAGGGCAUAGGCCCAAUCUUAUAAAUAAGAGGCUUAGCCUCUUAGGUUAAAUACACUAGUUGAAAGCUUCUCUAAUAACUUUUAACUUGAGUUAAAUUUUUUUGUUGACCUUUUUUGUAAAAAUGGAAGAGAUGGAAAGUUAAAGUUUUGCUAAUGGGUAAGCUUUGUAGGUGUAUUUGGAGUAAGGAGAAAAAUUGUGUACUUGUAAUAACUUUUCACAUAGUGAGUUUUUUUUCUGGAUCUGGUGGUUUUUUUCUCUUGUUUUGGAGUUUCUACGUAAAUAUCUUGUUUUGUUAUUAUUUCUUUAUUUUUUUUGUUAUUCCUGCAAAUAGUAGAUCUUAAAAUGGGUGAAUUUAGAAGGUCUAAAUUCCCAACACUACACGACUAAAUGUAACUACCAAUGCUCCCAAAUGUUCCAUAUCAGCCAUAACAUUGUCCAUCCUUAAAAA